rnacentral:rRNA from 1 species
GAGUUUGAUCGUGGCUCAGGAUGAACGCUGGCGGCGUGCCUAACACAUGCAAGUCGAACGGAGUUCUUAAGGAAUGCGGCUUCGGCCAAAUGACUUUUGAACUUAGUGGCGGACGGGUGAGUAACGCGUGAGCAACCUGCCUUUCAGAGGGGGAUAACAUUUGGAAACAGAUGCUAAUACCGCAUAAGAUUACAGUACCGCAUGAUACAGUGAUCAAAGGAGCAAUCCGCUGAAAGAUGGGCUCGCGUCCGAUUAGAUAGUUGGUGAGGUAACGGCUCACCAAGUCGACGAUCGGUAGCCGGACUGAGAGGUUGAACGGCCACAUUGGGACUGAGACACGGCCCAGACUCCUACGGGAGGCAGCAGUGGGGAACAUUGCACAAUGGGCGAAAGCCUGAUGCAGCAACGCCGCGUGAGGGAAGACGGUUUCGGAUUGUAAACCUCUGUUUCGGUGACGAACAAAUGACGGUACCGAGUAGGAAGCCACGGCUAACUACGUGCCAGCAGCCGCAAC